UCCUACGGGGCGCAGCAGUGGGGGAUAUUGCACAAUGGGGGAAACCCUGAUGCAGCGACGCCGCGUGGGCGAAGAAGUAUUUCGGUAUGUAAAGCCCUAUCAGCAGGGAAGAAGAAAUGACGGUACCUGAGUAAGAAGCACCGGCUAAAUACGUGCCAGCAGCCGCGGUAAUACGUAGGGGGCAAGCGUUAUCCGGAUUUACUGGGUGUAAAGGGAGCGUAGACGGUUAUGCAAGUCUGAAGUGAAAGCCCAAGGCUCAACCAUGGGACUGCUUUGGAAACUGUAAAACUGGAGUGCAGGAGAGG
rnacentral:rRNA from 1 species